rnacentral:misc_RNA from 1 species
GAUGAAGAACGCAGCGAAAUGCGAUACGUAGUGUGAAUUGCAGAAUUCAGUGAAUCAUCGAAUCUUUGAACGCACAUUGCACCUCUCGGUAUUCCGGGAGGUAUGCCUGUUCGAGCGUCAUUUGUACCCUCAAGCUCUGCUUGGUGUUGGGUGUUUGUUCCGCCUCUGUGUGUGAACUCGCCUCAAAACAAUUGGCAGCCGGCGUACUUGUUUCGGAGCGCAGCACAUUUUGCGAUCCAGAUCAACGUACAGCGGCAUCCAAGAAGCCUUAUUUAACGCUCUUGACCUCGGAUCAGGUAGGGAUACCCGCUGAAUUUAAGCAUAUCAAUAAGCGGAGGA